GGUAGCUCUGUAACUCAGGCUCCAGAACCACUGUCAUCUCACCUCAGUAUCUGAUUCCUGUCUUAUCAACAGGCGGAUUAUCAGGGUUAGACCAUGUUGCCUUUGAUACAAGAUUCUGUGUGAGCCUGAUGAAGCACCAGGACUUAGCCUGAGUAAUUCAAGCUGUGUGUCGCACAAUAAAACAUGGAGGACUCUGACAUAGAUCGUAGAAUCAAAAUCUACCAGUGAUGAUGCUGGAAGGGGAGCUAACUCGGCCUAUUUUAUCUGAAGAAAAUGAAGACAUUUGAUCAUUAUAGACUACAAUAUCAUAUAAAAUGCCAUGGCAAAAGUUAUCUUGUGUACAUUCAAAAAAGGAUCCAUUAAACAUGCAUCUAUGAAUGAUUUAUUGAAACAUCAAUAUCAGAUCAGUCCUACCCUGUGUUGUGCGACUGUGACAGUCCUCAGACC